rnacentral:rRNA from 1 species
AGGUUGUAUGUCUAAAGAGAAACAGCCCAGAACAAGAGUUAAUAAGGUUCCAAAAUUAUUGUUAAGUGAAAAUAAGGUAGUGUUUAUCCAAGCCAACCAGGAAAUGGGCUUAGGAGCGGCCAUUUUUUAAAGACCUCGUAACAGAGCACUGGUUUUAUACAAUUUUGUAUGUAUUGUUAGAUGCACCUAAAAUUUAACGGAUCUAAAUAAUAUACCGAGACCUUGUCCAUAAAUAUUUAUAUGUAUAAGUUACAUAUAAUAUAUAUGGGGUAGCGGAACAUUGGGCAUAUCUCAGAUUUUUUCUUUUUAAGACUUAAGAUUAGAUUACUGAUACUAUGUAAUGCUGACAUGAGUAACGAUAAAGGGUUUAUACCCUCGCCUAAAGCUUAUGGAAUUUACUUAAAGUAACGGCCUCUUAGUUUAAAUUUGCUUUACUUUACUGGGUUAUUUAGCUCUAAUUAAAAACGUGAUAAAGUAAAGUUACCUAAUGGUAUAAACGAUGAGAAAAAUUUUUCUAGAAAAAAUUUUUUAGAAAAAAUCUAAGUUUUACGGAAAAUAAGAAUGGAUGCUUAUGGAAACACAUUGAACGCGUAAAGUUGAAAAGUGUAUUAAAGUUUUCUUUAAAGAAAAUAAAAAUAUUUAGUAGGUUUUGACUAAACACACUAUAUAAAUAAAAACAGCGUUUGUGUUAGUAUACUAGAGCUAAGGUACUUGUUAAAAUAGUAACUGGAACUAAGGUGCUAGUGUACUAACUAAAGUGACAAAUGCUCUGGAAAAACGUAAAACCACAUGCUUAAUUAGAGUAUAGACAAGGCGGACCGUCCCUUGUCUAUAAAAUGCUCUUACU